rnacentral:rRNA from 1 species
GACGGAGGAUGCAAGCGUUAUCCGGAAUUAUUGGGCGUAAAGCGUCCGCAGGUGGCGAUUCAAGUCUGCUGUCAAAGACCGGGGCUUAACCCCAGAAAGGCAGUGGAAACUGAACAGCUAGAGUGCGGUAGGGGCAGAGGGAAUUCCCAGUGUAGCGGUGAAAUGCGUAGAGAUUGGGAAGAACACCGGUGGCGAAAGCGCUCUGCUGGGCCGCAACUGACACUCAGGGACGAAAGCUAGGGGAGCGAAUGGG